UCGUGAUGACAUCAACCGACUGGAGUCUCUGACAGGCCUCUUGAUCGAAAACAUCGCGUUGGA
rnacentral:misc_RNA from 1 species